AAUCUGAAACAUUUUUGAGUUCGUGUGUGACAACACGCAUGUGCACUCAUACAUGCAUGCACCCUGCACAUCAGCACAUACUACUAGCACAUCACACACACUCACCACUCACGGGACAUACUACUAGCACAACGCACACACUGACCACUCACGCGACACACCAACGGAAUGCACGCACCCGACGGCAGCAAGCUACAACGUUGCGGAUUCGUCGUCGUCUGCGAUCGGAUGCCAUGGCCAUGCCCGACACUCCGGGCAAUCUACUCCGCCAGGUCCUGGCCCGGACGCCUCCAUUUUUCCUCGUACUUAUCCUCGUGUGCAGCGCGUGUGCACACACACAGAGAGAAGAAUUAUAGGGGAGCCACACACUGAUGCUGCUGGACACCUGCUAUUUCUUUUUCCUUCAUUUAACAUACACACUGAGCCACAUAGUCUGCCAGGAUGAACUUCCCUGUCUUUCAUACUGCUCGCAUGGGAUGGAGGGGUCGUAAUUCUUGUUUCCCCUGCACAUCACUCUUCAUGUGGUUCAUGAAGUAGUCUUCCUGGUAGAUGUCACCGAACUGACUGGUAGAAGAAGGAGACACAACAAAUACAUAAGACAAAAUUUGUCACCCUCACCUUCUACUGGGGACUUCUGCUCGCGAUGGCCUCGACCUCCCUGGCGCUAUGGGGCUGGACUGAGAUGGUGUUGGGUCAUCAUCGAGGAAUUGGGACUUGGACGGCGCCUGCACCCCAAUCCGGACUGCAACGGGCCACAUGGAGUACCCAGGAUCUGGAUUUUUGCAACUCCCUGGCGCUCUGCUGUGGCUGCAUGAACGCUGCUGCCAUCCAGCGGUGCCCCUGUUGUUGCUCCUAGAAAUCCGUCUCUAGCAUUCCGUCUCUAGCAUUCUAGUUAACAUCUGAACUCAUGUGUCAUGACAACGGUGGGGAGAUGGAGCCGGGCGAAGGGGAGCUGCAUCUCAUCUAGGGCCACACCCAUGGCAUGUGCGAGGUCGUGGCAAUCCCAGGGAUGCUUGUCGCGACAGCGAAUGGGGCGACAGCGUGUGGGGGCUGCCACGAAAGGAAAAGUAAUGAUGUUAGUAAAGAAAGAUAGGAUAAAUUAAAGCAUGUCAUUUAGGAAAAUAAAUGAAAGUUUGCUCUGCAUAAUUGCUCUCACAAAAUCAAUUUAUUCAUUUUCUAGUACCUACUUUUUGUAAUGCAGGUCGAGUUUUCAGUAAAGGUGCGCAAUCAUCCCAGAAACAAAGCAGUACCUCAAUUCUCUGUAGAUCAAAUUCCACAAAUCACUAGUCCCCUGUAUUUCCAGUGCAAGUGAAUAUGUUGAACUGAGCCAUCAAAAACUCUUUUUUUAACCUGAAAGUGGCGAGGGAAAUAAGAUAAACGGUUGUAUAUGAAGUGCAGACAUAACUGGACUACUACUGGCUAGUAAUUGAGCAUAUGCCCAUGAAGAAUUAACAGCUGAUCAAACAGCCACAUGAUCUGGUUUCACUCCUCUGAAUGCAAGUGCGCAGUAGUUCAAGAUGAACAUAGACUGAAGCAUAAUACAUCAGUUCUAACUAACAAGAAGUAAUUCACCUACUCAUUCUAUAGUGGUAUCCAUGAGUGGAUGUUUUAACUGCUCUGCUGGCGAUGAUGUGACCGUUCUAUUGGCGAUGAUGUGACUGUUCGCAGCACUGGAUACGCAUAAUUCUUUUUUAAGAACAUAUGAAAUGAAUUAUUGAAUCAAAAUAAAAAAGGGACUCUCUUUUUUAUGCAGAUGCAGACCCAAUUAUUUAUUUAACAUACUAUAAAGAACAGAGAAGCAUUUAUACUAACAUUACUGACUUGCAAACAAUAUUGUAGAAACAAACAUCAGAGCUACCUGUCGAUAGUCCAAGUACACACCUGAUGAUGAAAUCAAUUCCAAGCUCCAAAUGAUGUAGCAGCCUAUGUCAAAGCUAGCAGAUAAGAAUAGCUUCACCCAACAAAAGGGCACAACACAGAGCAACCCUAGUAGUGCAGCGGAUUUAGAACGUUCAGAUUUACAUGGUCUUCAUCUAGCAGCAGAUUUACAUGGAGGAGCAGCAGCAAUUCAGACGUUCAAGCAAGAAACGAUGGGAAGGUCGAUCAGACACCCCAGAGAAGGUCACGUGCAAUGAGGAGACAACGGGAGUCCUCCACGGAGGAGCGCGAGCGGCUGGAGGAAGAGGAAGCCGCCACUGGCUGCGUGGGUAAAGACCCGAGGUGGUGCAGGCUCUUGGCGUCGCCAGAGUUGAGGAGCGGCACCGGCGGUGGGAUACGGGGCGUCGGCACGCUCCAGCGGAGGGAGAAGCGAGGAGGUGGUCGGGUGAGGCACGACUUGCUAUUCCUGGUGUCGGCGCCCCUAUUCUGCUCCUCCCAGCACAGGUGCCUCUGCCCUGUGUUCAUCCGUCCCAGGGGGAGCUCGGGCAAGAACGGAUCCGUGCGCAGAGGGGGACAUCCAGGUGGUGGUGGGCGGCGGCGAGAGGUCCUAGUGGUCGGCGACGGCAGCGCGGGAUACUGGUGGUGGGCG
rnacentral:lncRNA from 1 species